GCUUACGGCCACACCGCCUGGUUCACGCCUGAUCUCGGAAGCUAAGAUAGGUUGGGCCUGGUUAGUACUUGGAUGGGAGACCGCCUGGGAAUACCAGGGGCUGCAAGCU
rnacentral:rRNA from 1 species